ensembl:miRNA aca-mir-5465 aca-mir-5465
UUUGAUUGGAGAGAGAACUAGAUCCACAUCUGUCUCAACUAAAGACAGAUGUGGCCCUAGUUCUCUCUUUAAUCCUA